rnacentral:rRNA from 1 species
ACUGCUCAGUAACACGUGGAUAACCUGCCCUUGGGUCCGGCAUAACCCCGGGAAACUGGGGAUAAUUCCGGAUAACGCACAUAUGCUGGAAUGCUUUAUGCGUAAAAUGGAUUCGUCUGCCCAAGGAUGGGUCUGCGGCCUAUCAGGUAGUAGUGGGUGUAAUGUACCUACUAGCCAACAACGGGUACGGGUUGUGAGAGCAAGAGCCCGGAGAUGGAUUCUGAGACAUGAAUCCAGGCCCUACGGGGCGCAGCAGGCGCGAAAACUUUACAAUGCGGGAAACCGUGAUAAGGGGACACCGAGUGCCAGCAUCAUAUGCUGGCUGUCCAGGUGUGUAAAAUACACCUGUUAGCAAGGGCCGGGCAAGACCGGUGCCAGCCGCCGCGGUAACACCGGCGGCCCGAGUGGUGAUCGUGAUUAUUGGGUCUAAAGGGUCCGUAGCCGGUUUGGUCAGUCCUCCGGGAAAUCUGACGGCUUAACCGUUAGGCUUUCGGGGGAUACUGCCAGGCUUGGAACCGGGAGAGGUAAGAGGUACUACAGGGGUAGGAGUGAAAUCUUGUAAUCCCUGUGGGACCACCUGUGGCGAAGGCGUCUUACCAGAACGGGUUCGACGGUGAGGGACGAAAGCUGGGGGCACGAACCGGAUUAGAUACCCGGGUAGUCCCAGCCGUAAACGAUGCUCGCUAGGUGUCAGGCAUGGCGCGACCGUGUCUGGUGCCGCAGGGAAGCCGUGAAGCGAGCCACCUGGGAAGUACGGCCGCAAGGCUGAAACUUAAAGGAAUUGGCGGGGGAG